GGUGUUGUAGCUCGGUGGUAGAGCGCUCACCUACCACAUGUGGGACCCUGGGUUCAAUUCUCAGCACCACAG
rnacentral:tRNA from 1 species